UUGUCAUAUCGAAGCGAUUUGUUUUGUUGCCGCGUUUUCGCGCGAUUUUAGAGAAAGAUGAGUCGAAAGACGAAAUGUUUUAGGAGAUGGAUUGGUAGGAUCUUCCUACGAAGACCUCCAAUUCGAGAGAGGUGUGAGCGGAGAGCGGAAGAGAGAAAUGAUCCUCCACAGAAUGCGGGCAUCCGGCACGAUUGUCGGAAAGUCCGAAGGAUCCAGACGUCGGUGGGAUUCCUUCGGGGAUCUCGAAGCAUCGUCCCGAACUUAUAGAGAGGGACAACCCCGAGAUAUAUUGGGAUUUAAAAAGAUAGCAGGAUUGAAAAAGGCUUUCGUUAAGAUCGAAAAGAUGUUGGAGAUCGAAGCAAAUUUCCAGCGCGCAAUGUUCGGAGGUCCUUCGCAAAGUAAGAAGAAGUUCGAGAUAAACCGGAACUUCUCUCGCUGUUGCUUCGGCAGGGUCUAGAAAUAAAAAACUCGUUUCUCUUACCAACGGCCUUUGGAACCUGGUAUGCGGGCUGCUAGUAUGGGAAUUUAAGGAAUUUCACAGGGCUGUGGAGUCGGAGUCGGAGUCGUCAAAAAAUCCACCGACUCCGACUCCCGUUUACUUACCAACUUGUUAUGUACUGUAUAUGAAACGGAGUCGGAGUCGGAGUUGAAUGGUAAGGAAAAGUCGGAGUCGGUAGAUUUUUACGCGACUCCACAGCCCUGGAAUUUCAGAAACAAUUUUCCGCUUUAUUUGAGAGAAUGAAAUGAAACCUAUAAAACUAUGGGACGGAUCUCGGUCGUUAGUCGUGAAAGGGAGGUUAUAUAACCGAUCUGUGACGUAAAUCUCGGACUGGAUAAUAAUACUCGCAUUUGAGGAAUACCCCGGAUGUGACAGUUUACCUCGGAUUCGAAUUUAUAUCACGGAUGUGACGGAAGGAUGAUUCGUAAAUGAACUUAAUUCGAAUGAAAGAAGCCGAAGCCACUCCCGAUGAUUGUUGUUUAAAGAUGUUAACCUAAUCAUCAUUUUCUUAAUUACAGAAGGUCCGACAAACAUCGGAUACAUCACCCGCGAAACAUUCCCGGGGUUUUUCAACCGCUCGGAUUUGAUACCAGAUCAUCGGAACGGUAGACGGAUCCUUUAACGGUCGUGUCCUUUAACUAUAAGAAUAGCCAGGUUAGGUCGCGCGAAACAUUAAUUAUUUACAAUGCGUUAAAAGAGCCAAUACGGAUCCAUCCAUUAAUUACGCGAACAGUUUACGAUCUCUCUUCCCGCCGCGUAGCGAUGUACUUUUGCACUCUACUUCCAUUUAAUUACGUUUACGAUAGACGGACCCCUAACACUGGAGGAAUAACUUAAAACAGUUGCGCGAGCAUUUUCUAUCCGACGGUUUAGUCGCCCGACCGGCGGCGGAUUUUUUUAAAAAACUCUUUCCUCUCGAGAUCACCGAGAGGGCUUUCUUUUAGCCAGCCGACAAUGGGCUGCCGGAGGGCGAGGGACGGGCGACGUAUCCCGACGGACCAUGGCGAAAAAUUUCUGGAGUUUUUCGACCCGUCCGGAUUUCCGGUUUCGACGAAAGCUGACGACUUAGCCGCGCGGUCCCGAGAAUUAACGGCGACGAAACGUAUUUAUUUUUGGUUACUGGCAACACCUAGACAAGACGGAAGAUGGCGGAACAGCGGCGUGUUCCGUACGUGAAGAAGCUUCCGUUUAAGUUUCGUCAUCCGAGAGUGUACGCUUACACGUUGACGACGAUCGCGAUAAGUAUUUUAUUCAGCAAGCCCAUCUACGAUGCGUUUAUUUUUCCACGUCUCCGAGUAAAUCAAGAGAAAUAUAAGCAAUUACGAGAAAAGAAAGAAGCGAUUAGAUGACAGCGGCGAUCGUUCUUAAAACUCGUAUUACGUAAAUUAGACCGAAGAGUUUAUUUUCUUCGUAAUAGUAAUAUUUAAUAAACACUUUAAUCGUUUAUAUAACAAUAGAUACGCCGAACGAACUGCCGGAUUACGAGAAUGUUAUUUGAUUAGAAAUUAAAUGAAUAUUCAAACGAUGCGAUAGAAAUUGUUCGGAAUGGACAGACGAUUAUAGAUGGAAUACGUAACCGUACAAUUUAAAAUCUUUAAUUUAUAUUUAUUAUUCUAAUCCGAAGAAUUGGAAAUAACGCCCUUUGUAAUUUUGUGUAUUUUUCCAUUCGUUCCGCUGUAAAAUAUAGUCUCAAAAAAAAAAAAAAAAAA